CCGACUCCCCGACAGGCCCCUGUGUGUAAUGUUCACCUCCCUGUGUCCAUGUGUUCUCAUUGUUCAACUCCCACUUAUGAGCGAGAACAUGCGGUGUUUGGUUUUCUGUCCUUGUGAUAGUUUGCUCAGAAUGAUGGUUUCCAGCUUCAUCCAUGUCCCUGCAAAGGACAUGAACUCAUCCUUUUAUAUGGCUGCAUAGUAUUCCAUGGUGUAUAUGUGCCACAUUUUCUUUAUCCAGUCUAUUAUUGAUGGACAUCUGGGUUGGAUCCAAGUCUUUGCUAUUGUGAAUAGUGCCGCAAUAAACAUACAUGUGCAUGUGUCUUUAUAGUAGCAUGAUGUAUAAUCCUUUGGGUAUAUACCCAGGAAUGGGAUCGCUGGGUGAAAUGGUAUUUCUAGAACUAAAAAUUCCUUGAGGAAUCGCCACAUUGUUUUCCACAAUGGUUGAACUAAUUUACACUCCCACCAACAGUGUAAAAGCAUUCCUAUUUCUCCACAUCCUCUCCAGCAUCUGUUGUUUCCUGACUUUUUAAUGAUCACUGUUCUAACUGGUGUGAGAUGGUAUGUCAUUGUGAUUUUGAUUUGCAUUUCUCUGGUGACCAGUGAUGAUGAGCAUUUUUUAUGUGUCUGUUGGCUGCAUAGAUGUCUUCUUUUGAGAAGUGUCUGUUCACAUCCUUUGUCCACCUUUUGAUGAGGGUUUUUUGAUGAUGUUUGUUUUUUCUUGUAAAUUUGUUUAAGUUCUUUGUAGGUUCUGGAUAUUAGCCCUUUGUCAGAUGGGUAGAUUGCAAAAAUUUUCUCCCAUUCUGUAGGUUGCCUGUUGACUCUGAUGAUAGUUUCUUUUGCUGUGCAGAAGCUCUUUCAUUUAAUUAGAUCCCAUUUGUCAAUUUUGGCUUUUGUUGCCAUUGCUUUUGGUGUUUUAGUCAUGAAGUCUUUGCCCAUGCCUAUGUCCUGAAUGGUAUUGCCUAGGUUUUCUUCUGGGGUUUUUAUGGUUUUAGGUUUUAUGUUUAAGUCUUUAAUGCAUCUUGAGUUCAUGUUUAUAUAAGGUGUAAGGAAGGGAUCGAGUUUCAGCUUUCUACAUAUGGCUAGCCAGUUUUCCCAGCACCAUUUAUUAAAUAGGGAAUCCUUUCCCCAGUGCUUGUUUUUGUCAGGUUUGUCAAAAAUCAGAUGUUCGUAGAUGUCUGGUGUUAUUUCUGAGGACUCUGUUCUGUUCCAUCAGUCUAUAUAUCUGUUUUGGUACCAGUACCAUGCUGUUUUGGUUACUGUAGCCUUGUAGUAUAGUUUGAAGUCAGGUAGCGUGAUGCCUCCAGCUUUGUUCUUUUUGCUUAGGUUUCUUUGCUUUGUUCUUUUUGCUUUGUUCUUUUUGCUAAGCUUUAAGCUUAGGCUUGUCUUGGCUAUGUGGGCUCUUUUUUAGUUCCAUGUGAAAUUUAAAGUAGUUUUUUCCAAUUCUGUGAAGAAAGUCACUGGUAGCUUGAUGGGGAUAGCAUUGAAUCCAUAAAUUACCUUGGGCAGUAUGGCCAUUUUCAUGAUAUUGAUUCUUCCUAUCCACGAGCAUUGAAUGUUCUUCUGUUUGUUUGUGUCCUCUUUUAUUUCAUUGAGCAGUGGUUUGUAGUUCUCCUUGAAGAGGUCCUUCACAUCCCUUGUAAGUUGGAUUCCUAGGUAUUUUAUUCUCUUUGUAGUAAUUGAGAAUGGGAGUUCACUCAUGAUUUGGUUCUCUUUUUGUCUAUUAUUGCUGUAUAGGAAUGCUUGUGAUUUUUUCACUUUGAUUUUGUAUCCUGAGACUUUGCUGAAGUUGCUUAUCAGCUAAAGGAGAUUUUGGGCUGAGACGAUGGGCUUUUCUAAAUAUACAAUCAUGUCAUCUGCAAACAGUGACAAUUUGACUUCCUCUUUUCCUAAUUGAAUACCCUUUAUUUCUUUCUUUUGCCUGAUUGCCCUGGCCAGAACUUCCAAUAAUAUGUUGAAUAAGAGUGGUGAGAGAGGGCAUCCUUGUCUCGUGCUGGUUUUCAAAGGCAAUGCUUCCAGUUUUUGCCCAUUCAGUAAGAUAUUGGCUGUGGGUUUGUCAUAAAUAGCUCUUAUUAUUUUGAGAUAUGUUCCAUCAAUACCUAGUUUAUUGAGAGUUUUUAGCAUGAAGGGCUGUUGAAUUUUUUCGAAGUCCUUUUCUGCAUCUAUUGAGAUAAUCAUGUGGUUUUUGUCAUUGGUUCUGUUUAUGUGGUGGAUUACAUUUAUUGAUUUGCGUAUGUUGAACCAGCCUUGCAUCCCAGGGAUGAAGCCAACUUGAUCGUGGUGGAUAAGCUUUUUGAUGUGCUGCUGGAUUUGGUUUGCCAGUAUUUUAUUGAGGAUUUUCACAUUGAUGUUCAUCAGGCAUAUUGGCCUAAAAUGCUCUUUUUUUUGUUGUGUCUCUGCCAGGCUUUGGUAUCAGGGUGAUGUUGGCCUCAUAAAAUUCUAAUUAGAAAGAUUUUAAACUUGUUUGCUGUUACAUGAGCUUUCUCUAUUAAAUCUGUAAUAAUUUUCAUGUUAUUAAAUUCUCAUCUUCUCUUUCAUAUUGUUAGAGUUUCUCAAACAUUGCUCUGCCCUCCUCAACCUUGUCCUUUACCUACUGUAUACCAUCUUAUUUUAUCUCAAGAUACAUUUCUUCAAGCCAUCUCUAAACGCCCCCAAAUUAUACCUGGUUCCUGCGUGACACUUUCUCGUUUUACCUCAUUCUUUUCCUUUAUAAAUUAUUCAGAGUUUGUAAUUACAUGUUUGUGGAAUUAUGUAAUAUAUGUAUAUUUCUUCCCACUACAGUGUAAUUUCUAUGAAGACAAUGAAUGUAUCUCUUUUCACCUUAUUUUAAUGAUACUCAUAACAAAGUAUUGUACUUAUUGCUAUAAUGGUACUCCAUGACCAUUUUUGCAUUUUUGAUGAAUUAAUGAACAUAUAAACAAGUCUGGGGGCUUAGUAUAGCCAAUAAUAAAGGAAAAAGUAAUUUGCUCUCCUUUGCUGUUAUUAGUUCUUGCAUACACAUUCUUUAGAGUUGCAUUUCUGAGAGGUUCCCAUAGACUUAGGAAGGAUUUGGAUACUCAGGGUUUCCUAACUGUGAUAAAAAUGAGAAGAGCCUAAAAACUAACAUAACUUCAAACAGAAUGCUUCUCUGCCUAUGUUUAUGGGACUUUCCUGGAAUGCAUUUUUAAAAAACUUUGCAUUGUAGAAAACUUCAACUGUGUACAGUAGUAGAGAGAAGAGUACCAUGGUUUUUUUGUUUGUUUUUUCACAGAGUCUUGCCCUGUUGCCCAGGCUGGAGUGCAACAGCAUGAUCUCAGUUCACUGCAAC
rnacentral:lncRNA from 10 species